rnacentral:rRNA from 1 species
AGUCGAGCGAAUCUGAUGGGAGCUUGCUCCUUGUCAGAUAGCGCCGACGGGUGAGUAACACGUGGGUAACCUGCCUGUAAGACUGGGAUAACUCCGGGAAACCGGGGCUAUACGGGAUAACUUUUUUCCUCGCAUGAAGGAGAAUUGAAAGGUGGCACUAGCUACCACUUACAGAUGGACCCGCGGCGCAUUAGCUAGUUGGUGAGGUAACGGCUCACCAAGGCGACGAUGCGUAGCCGACUUGAGAGGGUGAUCGGCCACACUGGGACUGAGACACGGCCCAGACUCCUACGGGAGGCAGCAGUAGGGAAUCUUCCGCAAUGGACGAAAGUCUGACGGAGCACCGCCGCGUGAGUGAUGAAGGUUUCCGGAUCGUAAAACUCUGUUGUUAGGGAAGAACAAGUAUCGUUCGAAUAGGGCGGUACCUUGACGGUACUUAACCAGAAAGCCACGGCUAACUACGUGCCAGCAGCCGCGGUAAUACGUAGGUGGCAAGCGUUGUCCGGAAUUAUUGGGCGUAAAGC